rnacentral:tRNA from 1 species
GAGGGUAUAGCUCAAGUGGUAGAUUGCAUGCUUAGCACGCACAAGGUCCUGGGUUCAAUCCCCAGUAUCCUCU